UGUAGCUCCAAUUGGCAGAGCAGCGGAUUCCAAAUCCGCGUGUUGGGAGUUCGAAUCUCUCCACCCCUGCCA
rnacentral:tRNA from 1 species